rnacentral:rRNA from 1 species
CUACGGGGGGCACCAGUGGGGAAUAUUGCACAAUGGGCGCAAGCCUGAUGUAGCCAUGCCGCGUGUAUGAAGAAGGCCUUCGGGUUGUAAAGUACUUUCAGCGGGGAGGAAGGGAGUAAAGUUAAUACCUUUGCUCAUUGACGUUACCCGCAGAAGAAGCACCGGCUAACUCCGUGCCAGCAGCCGCGGUAAUACGGAGGGUGCAAGCGUUAAUCGGAAUUACUGGGCGUAAAGCGCACGCAGGCGGUUUGUUAAGUCAGAUGUGAAAUCCCCGGGCUCAACCUGGGAACUGCAUCUGAUACUGGCAAGCUUGAGUCUCGUAGAGGGGGGUAGAAUUCCAGGUGUAGCGGUGAAAUGCGUAGAGAUCUGGAGGAAUACCGGUGGCGAAGGCGGCCCCCUGGACGAAGACUGACGCUCAGGUGCGAAAGCGUGGGAAGCAAACAGGAUUAGAUACCCUGGUAGUC